rnacentral:rRNA from 1 species
AGCAAGCGGACCAAGGCAUACACGGCGGCCGAGGACAAACUUCUUUGCGAGUGUUGGAGAGACAUUGGGCAAGACCCCAAGACGGGCGCCGAACAAAAGCAUUCAACUUUUUGGAUUCGUGCCCACCGUGAGUUUCACGAGCUCAAGAAGUUUCCGCCUUACCAAAUAGUGAGCACGCGCGGGUGGGUGUCCAUUUUGAAGCGAUGGAGGGUGAUACAACAAGAGUGCAACAAGUUUUCUGCCACUCUUAAGAGCGUCAAGGCCCGCCCCGUGAGCGGCAUCGGCAUGCAAGACAUGGUAUGCUAG